ensembl:snoRNA Gm22888 predicted gene, 22888
AAGGGAAAGACGGUGAUGUUCUUCAAGCACAUAUCUGAAUUGUAUGUGUGGACAAAAUGAAGCUGAGUCUUUCCCAC